CAAAAUCAAUUGGGGUUCUGGCUUGAUGCACUGUCUUUAUGGCUUUGCUCUUGCACGGGAUGCCGUCUUAUUUGAUGAUUCUGAAUAACUUUCUGCUGAUCGCAUGGUCUUGCACCGGCGACGUAUCUUUCAAAUGUCUGCCUUAUCAACUGUCGAUGGUAGGUUCUGCGCCUACCAUGGUUGUAACGGGUAACGGGGAAUCAGGGUUCGAUUCCGGAGAGGGAGCCUGAGAAACAGCUACCACAUCCAAGGAAGGCAGCAGGCGCGCAAAUUACCCACUCCCGGCACGGGGAGGUAGUGACGAAAAAUAACGAUACGGGACUCAUCCGAGGCCCCGUAAUCGGAAUGAGUACAAUCUAAACACUUUAACGAUGAUCAAUUGGAGGGCAAGCCUGGUGCCAGCAGCUGCGGUAACUCCAGCUCCAAUAGCGUAUAUUAAAGUUGUUGCGGUUAAAAAGCUCGUAGUCGAAUCUGUGUCUCGCGCCGCUGGUUCAUCGUUCGCGGUGUUAAUUGGCGUGUCGCGGGACGUCCUGCCGGUGGGUUUGUGGGUAUUGAUUGGCUUCGGUAAAACGGUGUCAGUCUUGCUCGCAACCCAAUACAAUCCUGCCGCGGUGCUCUUCGUUGAGUGUCGAGGUGGGCCGGCACGUUUACUUUGAACAAAUUAGAGUGCUUAAAGCAGGCUAAAAUUUUGCCUGAAUAUUGUGUGCAUGGAAUAAUGGAAUAGGACCUCGGUUCUAUUUUGUUGGUUUUCGGAACUCCGAGGUAAUGAUAAAUAGGAACGGAUGGGGGCAUUCGUAUUGCGACGUUAGAGGUGAAAUUCUUGGAUCGUCGCAAGACGGACAGAAGCGAAAGCAUUUGCCAAAAACGUUUUCAUUGAUCAAGAACGAAAGUUAGAUGCCCGAAGGCGAUCAGAUACCGCCCUAGUUCUAACCAUAAACGAUGCCAGCUAGCGAUCCGCCGACGUUCCUCCGAUGACUCGGCGGGCAGCUCACGGGAAACCAAAGCUUUUGGGUUCCGGGGGAAGUAUGGUUGCAAAGCUGAAACUUAAAGGAAUUGACGGAAGGGCACCACAAGGAGUGGAGCUUGCGGCUUAAUUUGACUCAACGCAGGCAAAUUUACCAGACCCAGACUUCAGAAGGAUUGACAGAUUGAGAGCUCUUUCUUGAUUGGAAGGGAGGUGGUGCAUGGCCGUUCUUAGUUCGUGGAUCGAUUCGUCUGGUUAAUUCCGAAAACGAACGAGACUCUAGCCUACUAAAUAGGCGCAUUCGACAUCUCAAAGGCCCGCUAGCUGUCUGCGGUGCGUGUGUAGUGUUUGUUCAUUGUGUAUUGUUAUUGCAACUUUCGCAUGGACUGCGCUGCAUUGCAUUUGUGGUGGCUAUGUGUGGUUUUUACUGUCGGCGUACAAAUAUAUCUUCUUAGAGGAAUAGGUGGCUUCUAGCCGCAUGAGAUUGAGCAAUAGCAGGUCUGUGAUGCCCUUAGAUGUUCUGGGCCGCACGCGCGCUACACUGAAGGAAUCAGCGUGUCCUCCCUGACCGAAUGGUUCGGGUAAACCGCUGAACCUCCUUCGUGCUUGGGAUUGGGGCUUGUAAUUAUUCCCCAUGAACGAGGAAUUCCCAGUAAGCGCGAGUCAUCAUCUCGCGUUGAUUACGUCCCUGCCCUUUGUACACACCGCCCGUCGCUACUACCGAUUGAAUGAUUUAGUGAGGUUUUCGGACUGGUAUGCGGUGGUGUCUUAUGGCAUGACCGAUUUUAUUGGAAAGAUGACCAAACUUGAUCAUUUAGAGGAAGUAAAAGUCGUAACAAGGUUUCCGU
rnacentral:rRNA from 1 species